UUUUUUCUUUCUUGCUUCUCUUCUUGGUUCUUGCCAUUUGACAAAGAGAGGUAAAAGAAAAUACCUUUUCUUUCUUCUUGUUCUUCUUCUCGUUUUACAUUUCUUUUCUUUCUUUUUCUUUUACUCCAUAACACCCAUUCAAAAUCUUCUGUCCACCUUUUUGGUUUUCAACUUUCUGCUUCAUAUUACACACAAACACAACCCAACGGUUCAACCUAAUACACACGAUUCUGAUUUCAAUUGUCCAUGUUUCCAGCUUUCAUCACCACCUUUUGCUAAUUAAACUCUCUAAAACAAUCCAGUGGUACUCAAGCUAUUACCUUUCUCUUCUUCCACUGUGUGAUCAGCUGCUACCAGUUGUUUUUCUGUCCGUGAUGGUUCAAUGUAGAAGAUCCUUCUUAAUUCUACUUCUUUGGAUCUUCUUCAUGUUCAUUUUUUUUAUUGGUUAUUGUCAUGCCUCAAGAACCACAAACGUUUUCGAUCUAAAGCCCAAGUCUCAGCAGUGCAAGGGGCAUUUCUUGAAUUCCUUGCCUAGACAUUUACCAAUACCUACUUCUGGCCCUUCAAGGAGACACAAUGAUAUUGGGUUACAAAGUUGGAGAUCACCUUGAACAUUUAAAACCAUUUUUGAAGAAAAGGUGAUUCUCUUUUAUU
rnacentral:misc_RNA from 1 species